GUAAUUGAAAAAGCAAAAUAAGCCCAUCAGAAGCAUUCAUUUUUAUCUCUUUCUUAGAUGAGGAGAAGCAAUGAGAAAACAAACAGUACUGCAGAGGUCUUUAGGCGUUAGAGGCAGAGUGAAUGGAACUGCUUUUUAUAAAGUGAUAUGACAGUGUGUAAUGGCAGGAAUAGCACUGCAGCACCUCAUGGAGCACCUCUGCUGACAGACUCACCAGUUUUGUUACGAAGACAGCUAGAGGAAUUCAUAAUUCUGAGACAAGUUUAUGAAUUCUGUCAUCAAUUCUUGGAUCUAACAUUCACCUAAAAGUGGGGUUUCUUAUGCAUGAAGAAAUGGCAGAGCAGCUAAAUGGUGCAGAAAGGCUAGUGAAGUGAAUGAACCAGGUGCAAGUCCUUUUCAGUGCCUCUGAGAAGCACUCUCUCAUGACUCUCCUAAGCUUCCUUGUUGAAACUGCUCUACUUUGAAGAAACAAAUACUGAUUUUUCUCAUAGACUUUAGUUCAUUUUGUCUUAUACCAUAUAAAUCCGAAGAAUUUCUCUCAAACAAAUGAAUAUUUUUCUGUGCUAAAGAAAAGCUUUACAAGGAAAGACUGAGAACCAAUUGCUCUGCAGUUUGCAGUGCAAUACUCUCCUACUGGUCGGUUUGUUAUGCCCAUGUUUUGUACUGCUGUGGAACUUUUUUUUAACCCAGAUUUUCAUAUAUCAAA
rnacentral:lncRNA from 1 species